rfam:Tilletia controversa strain DAOM 236426 scaffold_1056, whole genome shotgun sequence.
GACUGCGUAGCUCAGUUGGUUAGAGCGUCCGACUGUUAAUCGGGAGGUCGACAGUUCAAACCUGUCCGUGGUCG